AUUGAACGCUGGCGGCAUGCCUUACACAUGCAAGUCGAACGGCAGCACGGGACUCGGGCAACUGAGCCCUGGUGGCGAGUGGCGAACGGGUGAGUAAUGCAUCGGAACGUGCCCAGUAGUGGGGGAUAACUAGUCGAAAGAUUAGGCUAAUACCGCAUACGACCUAUGGGUGAAAGCGGGGGAUUUUCGGGCAACCGAGAACCUCGCGCUAUCGGAGCGGCCGAUGUCNGAUUAGCUAGUUGGCGGGGUAAAAGCCCACCAAGGCUUCGAUCAGUAGCUGGUCUGAGAGGACGACCAGCCACACUGGGACUGAGACACGGCCCAGACUCCUACGGGAGGCAGCAGUGGGGAAUUUUGGACAAUGGGCGCAAGCCUGAUCCAGCCAUGCCGCGUG
rnacentral:rRNA from 1 species